rnacentral:rRNA from 1 species
GAUGAACGCUGGCGGCGUGCUUAACACAUGCAAGUCGAACGGGAUCCCGGGGGUUCGCUCCCGGGUGAGAGUGGCGAACGGGUGAGUAAUGCGUGACCGACCUGCCCCAUACACCGGAAUAGCUCCUGGAAACGGGUGGUAAUGCCGGAUGCUCCGGUUGGAUGCAUGUCCUUCCGGGAAAGAUUCCAUCGGUAUGGGAUGGGGUCGCGUCCUAUCAGCUUGAUGGCGGGGUAACGGCCCACCAUGGCUUCGACGGGUAGCCGGCCUGAGAGGGCGACCGGCCACAUUGGGACUGAGAUACGACCCAGACUCCUACGGGAGGCAGCAGUGGGGAAUAUUGCACAAUGGGCGCAAGCCUGAUGCAGCGACGCCGCGUGCGGGAUGGAGGCCUUCGGGUUGUAAACCGCUUUUGAUCGGGAGCAAGCCCUUCGGGGUGAGUGUACCUUUCGAAUAAGCACCGGCAA